rnacentral:rRNA from 1 species
CACGUAGGGCGCAAGCGUUGUCCGGAAUUAUUGGGCGUAAAGAGCUCGUAGGCGGUCUGUUACGUCUGCUGUGAAAUCCCGGGGCUCAACCCCGGGCCUGCAGUGGAUACGGGCUGGCUGGAGGCAGGCAGGGGAGAACGGAAUUCCUGGUGUAGCGGUGAAAUGCGCAGAUAUCAGGAGGAACACCGGUGGCGAAGGCGGUCUCUGGGCCUGUACUGACGCUGAGGAGCGAAAGCGUGGGGAGCGAACAGG